rnacentral:lncRNA from 13 species
CAGCUGGCUCAUCACUGAGGAGUUCCCAGAUGCACCACAUUGGUGCUAAACUCAGAAAGUCCUGGGCAACCCCAAACAAGUUGGUCAUUCGGGCGGGGUUCCAGCCGCUUUUCAGGAUUCACCUUGCGGAACCCGCAGUGGUGGUCGUGUUAUCUACCCAUUGUAAAGAAGAAACGAAGGUUGGAAGAGGCUAAACAAGCUGCCCAAACUAUCCGGUUGGGGAGGGAAGAAUGGACAUUUGAAUUUAGGACUGCCGGACCCAUGCUCUUUCCCCUGGAUGCCUCUGAGGUUGAGAGAUGGGAAGCGGCCUUCACCGGUGUGAAUCUGUGAUGCCCAAACGAUGCUGCAUGGGCAGAUUGGGAAUUGUUGGUGUUGGGGAAAGGACAGCCUGGGAACCUGAGAACCCGAGAGCCGUCCCUGGCCCCCUAGAAGGUGAGCACAAACAUCCUGGACCUCGCUUUCCUCUCUAUAGUGUGGGCAUAAUGAUAUAUUUGCUGUCUGCUGGUAAGAUUGUUCUGAGAUUUGAUUAACCUGCUGUAGCAAAAAUAAAUAUGCGAAACAAGAAUGAAACA